rnacentral:misc_RNA from 1 species
UCAAUUCGGGACAUACCACAGAUCAAUGAACGGCGAAACAUUCAACUAAAACGUUUUGACACUGCCAAGGAACAUACAUUGCAAAGUGUUGACACAUUCAAAGACUUUCUUUGGAAAGAAUGUCGGUUAGGUGAAUAUAUAAGUGCCUUUUCUAAGUUAAAUGGUGGUGGGUCUUUCUUCCUUGGCAUCAACGAGAACGAAGAACAAUACGGUGCCUACACAUCUAAGACGUUUUCAUCAACUGGCAUAAAAUUCAAAGAUUCGAAUUUUCGUCAAGAGACCGAAGCGGCCAUCUUCCAGUCUUUGCAGGAGAAUACUGUUAUCGUGACAUACAGUGGAGAGCAACUGGAAACUCCUCACAACACUAUUCAAGUUGCAUUCCAUCCCGUAACGGCAGACAGGUUUGUGCUGGAGGUUGCUGUUGCAGCAGUAGAUGGUUUACUGUUUUAUGACAAGGAAGGCCCAGAAGCUUACGAGUAUGAAAAUAGCAGACUGAAGAGGUUAUUGAUCACAGAUUGGUACGAAAGAUUGUGUAUCGAGACUGAUGGCGAUGCUGAAAACUAACAUGGCACUAUCUGAAAAAGACAGUAACCAAUGUUUAGAUGAGAACCUAACGGACCUUCCUGUCGAGAGGGUAGACACAAGGGGCCUGUAUCAGAAGAGGCCUCCCUGCAAGCAGAUUGAGAAAAGUCUUGAGGAUAUUGAAGCCAUGGUUUUGCAAGGAGGCCCAGAAACAAUCAAAAUAUUUCCCAAGAGUUUUCCAGAAGAAGAGGCUUAUACUAAUUUGAAGACAAGACUCAAUGAACUGUCGACAGUGGACAAUGUUGGUCUUGCAUACAUCGCAAAUUCUCUCCCGGUUACUGCUAAUAUGGACAUUAAGUACAAGACUCCCGGAGAAGUUAUUAUGGACGUGUGUCUGUUCAGACAGCGAAGUCCGGCGGUUAUUUUUUCUGUUGUGACAGAUGUAUCCAAGAAUAUGAAACUUAAUCAACGAUACAACUCUGCUGUCUCGAAAAACGUUACAAAGAACGUUCGGAAAUUUACGACCAUGACCUUCAACUCUAUAUACGGGUUAAUGCAUGAGAAAGACCUCAUGUCGAAGGAAACAUUUGAGUCAUCGCUAGCAAGAAUAGAGAAGGAACGAUCUCGCCUCUGUAUUCCUGAUUCUUUGAGUAUGAACAACAAGAAGUAUAAGCAUGUUGUCCGUGCCUUUCUCUCUUCUAUGGCAGCAACCGAGUUUGUUAGUGACGAAAACGAUGAAACUCUAUGGUUUUUGACUCAUAAACAGUUCUGUAUCCUGACAGAGAACAUUGAUCACACUGAAGUGCAUGUUGAUACCUUCCCUGCCAGCGGUGGUCGAGUCCUGUCUCUCACCGUAUGCCAGCGUUUACAGAAACUUGGACGAACAUUGCUCAUAUCAGAUGAUCUCAAACUGAUCGAACGUGCAAGAAACCAUAAUAUUGAUUGCAAGACGUUCAAUGACAUUGGACAAAAGGUUCUGGUGGCUGAAGGAAAUCACUUCCCUUCCAUUGUGAUAUACCAAGGUGAAGAAGAUUGCUCAUCUCAGAGUCCACACCUGCCCAAGCUCUUGUCAAAUGCACAAAAGUGUUGGAUUUUCCAUAGACAGAAAGGAUCGCUUGAGAAGGAAGAUAUGCCCAAAAGUCCUGAAAGUGUGACCCAUUCACCAACACUGCUUGAUUAUGAUGCUGAUACAAUGGACAAAGUUCGUAAUCUUUUAGAUGACAGCUGCGCUGAAAUAGCAAUGGGCACCAAGGACGUCCAUGUAACAUCAGCUGUUGAUGAGGUCAUCAGCAUGUUGGAAGGGAACAAUCAGUGGAUCACAAUCACAGGUCGUCCGGGAGAAGGGAAAACAACCCUUGGGUAUAUGGUUCUGGAGCAGAUGAAGGCUAAAGGAGCGAGAAUUUGUAUCAUUGACAGUCCCAAUGAUUAUGCACUUUUCUCAGCUAACGCAUUGACCAACCACGUGUUUAUGUUCAAGGAUGUUUUGACCUAUGCUACUUGUGACCUACAAACAAGGAAACGAUGGGUUGAGUUUGUCAAUAACUUACAUAAAAGCAUCAAGGGUGAAUGUGACACAAAUGUCUGUUUUAUCCUUAUAUGCAACAAACAUGACGAGGAAUGGAAAUAUUUGGGUGGAUAUGCUAUGGAAAUAUUCUACUGGAAUGUUUUCAACCUAACCGAUCACUUCAGAGAAAAUCCUGAUGAACGGACCAAAGUUCUUACAUACUUUCUGCAUAAAUACCAGAAUACAGACCAAAACAUUGAGACAAAUAUUGCAUGUGCUAAGCAUGGAUUUCUACUCUGCGUUAAACUCUUUUGUGAAUUGCGAAAGACAAUUCAGACAGAACACGUCCAUUCAUUUUUCUCAGAUCCUAUUCUUUAUGUAACGAAUUUAGUCACUGACCACGCACACGACGAAGGAACCAUGACAUUUCUUCGCAGUAUGCUACAACAUGAUGAAUUCACCUCAACAGAAGAAGCUGUUAUUCCAAAGCCCUUGUCGCAAUUUCAUGGUGUAUUCCUACAAGAGGACAAUAACAUAAGGUUCUGUCAUCCAUCUGUUCGCGUGGCAGUAGCAAUGGUAAUGGGAAAGGUAGAUCUACUAUUUGUUCUUCAGAACUGUAGCUCUACCUUUGUCAUUCCACGACUGAAAGUCCAGGCAACAGAAGAGGAGGCAGGAUUCUUAUACGUCAAUGCUGAAAACAAAGAAGUUUUGCGAAAGGUCACAUCUACCUUUGCAUGUGCUUUGCAAGAGGGCUACUUCGAUGUUCUAAGACAUGACAUGCUCCUUGAUGAAACAUUCUUUCAACAAGUGUUGAGAGAAGCUAAAAACACCUCUUCAACUUUUCUGAACGAGUUGAACACCGACGGGUAUUCGUUGCUACACGCAGCCUUGAGACAUGGCAACAAAGUUGCGGUACAGGUCCUUCUUGACAUGGAAGCAAAUGUAAAAGUGAAAUGUCACGGCAAAUCGGUGUUGCAUCUCUUGUGUGAAGAAACUGAAUUUGACAAAGAUCUCUUUCUCUUAUUUUGUGAGAAGGGUGCAGAUAUCAGUGCAGUUGAUGAAGAUGGACAAACCAUUCUUCAUUAUUUAUGCAUGAAGUCAGGAAGCGACACUACAAUCCAACUGGUGUUAAAAAGAGGCUGUGACGCUACGGUGACAGAUCACAGUAGGAAGACAGCACUACAUUACUUGUGUGCUAAAAGACACAUCGAUAAAGACUUGUUUACAGCACUAAUCCAGCGUGACUGUAAUGUUAACAUGUGUGACAAAUGGGGAAAGAACGUUCUGCACUACUUAUGUGAAAGUUCAGUGUUUGAUCGGGAGAUUUUUCAUAUUGCGUUUAGCCACAGGGUUGAUGUUUCAGCUAUAGAUAUCUUCGGUAACACGCCGCUGCAUUAUGCUGCUGAAACGAGCCAUCCACUCAAGGUCAUUGAUCUUCUCAUACAAAAUGGAUCAAACAUCAACUGUAGAAAUGCGCGUGGAGACACCAUAUCUCUUCGGCUUUGUAAGUUCAAUGUAUUACAAAGAGAUCUGUUGGAGUAUUUGAUUAGACAUGACACUGAUGUAAAUGCUGCAGAUGAGGAUGGAAAGACAAUCAUUAUGAUUCUUGCCGAAAAUGGGAAUCUAAAUGCCGAAAUGCUAGAUUUGUUAAUGAAGGCUGGCUGCGAUGUCAACAAACAAGAUGCACUCGGUAACACACCACUACAUUACUGCUGCAUCAGUGGUGAUGUGAAUGAAACCCUACGCUGCCUGCUGGAGUAUGGUGCAAAUGUAAACCACUCCAAUACUUAUAUGAAGACCCCACUUCAUUAUGCUUUUGAACGCAUGGUUCCUCGGGUCAUUGAACAACUGAUCCACUACGGUGCUGACACAAAUGCUACUGACAAGGAUGGAAUGACACCAUUGCUUUUUCUUUGCGAAAAUACAAGAACAACGAUAGACAUAUUCACGUCGUGUUUGAACGCAUUGUUAGAAGGGAAAUGUGACUUGAACAAAUCCGACAAGGAAGGAAAAACUGCUCUGCAUUAUGUCUGUGAAAGGCAGAAAAACACAGAUAUGGCAUGUGUGUUGAUUCAAGCGGGGGCUAAGGUCAACAUGAGAGAUAACCAUGGUAGUACACCACUGCACUAUAUCUGUGCAUGGGAAGGCGUAAAGGAUUUAUCAGUGAUGGUGAAUAUGCUGAUCAACCAAGGUUCACGCACGAAUAUUUGUGAUGAGUGGAAACGAGUCCCACUUCAUAUUUUGUGUAAAGCAAACGAUAUUGACCAAGAUACUCUUAAGAUCUUGUUAAACAAUGGCGGUACCGUAAAUGCGAGGGAUGUUUUCAAGAAGACUCCACUUCACUACGCUUGUGACCAUACACCUGUCAACAGAGAGGCUAUAAUGUUGUUGAUACAUGGACGUGCUGAUGUGAACAUUGCAGACGGAAACAAGCGAACCCCUCUUCAUGUAUUGUGCAUGCAAAAGCAUAUUGACAAAGAAGCUGUGAAUAUUCUUUUGGAGAAACGCGCCUUUGUUAACACUACAGAUGAACACGGUAAGACAGCUCUUCAUUAUGUAAGUCAAAAUGAGUCGUCAACGAAAGAAAUUGUGUCCCUGAUAUUACAAAACGGUGCUGAUUUAGACAAGACAGAUGGUUUAGGCAUUUCCGUCUCAGAGUACCUUUUGAAACGGACAGAUCUGAAACAAAUUGUACCUUUGGCCAUCUUGAAGAAGAGACCAGCGGUUGAAGACUACAGCUUAAGGUUUCAACAACCAAAUGGGAAACAAGAAGUAUUCGCAGAGAUCGUCAGGACUGGCGCAUUUGACAAAAAAGACAGGCAUGGGAGGACAUUUCUGCAUUACGCUUGUGCUUUGAGCACUGAAGAUGAUGGCAUCAUUGAACAAACAUUGCAACUCGACUGUGACGUCAACCUAAAGGAUCCCGAUAACAUGACAGCAUUACAUAUCAUUUGCAGACGAACUAAUGAGAACGUUCACAAAUACAUAGCACUGUUAUUGCAGAAAGGUGCUAGAGUUGACAUGACUGACAGACAUGGCAAUACCCCACUUCACUAUCUUGGAAUGACCUCAAUCAUAGCUGAACGGAAUGCUACUCACCUGGAACUAUUGUUAAAUAGGGGAUCUGAUGUCAAAAGUGUUGAUGGCAAUGGUAUAAGUUUUGUUCACUAUAUGGCUAUUGCAGGAAUUUGUGAUAAAAUUAAAGUUGCCUUGGAUGAAACAAAAGAUGUUGAUGUUACUGUGAAACAUGAUGUCAGUACAUUCAUCCACAAGGGACAGACAGCACUUCAUUUAGCGUGCAUUUCCUCCAAAGCUGGAGCAGGUGUUGUGAACGAGUUGCUGAAGUCUAAGGCUAAUAUAUGUGCAACUGACAGGAGGGGAAGAACGCCUUUGCACUACGCCUGCCGGUGUCCAUGCGAAAUUGCAUAUGAUGCAACCACAAAUGAACUGACCAGCAAACCUUCUUCAGACAAUCUGGAGCGGAAAAAGGUUGUAGAACUAUUACUUGCCCAGCAUAUGAAGAAGAGGAAAAGGGGCCAGAGGCCGGUUGAUGAGAACAGCACUUCUGACUCUGUAAGUAUGAGAACGGCAUUUCUGACUCUGUAUGAGAACAGCACUUCUGACUCUGUAUGAGAACAGCACUUCUUACUCUAAAAGUAUGGGAACAGCACUUCUGACUCUGUAAGUAUGAGAACAGCACUUCUGACUCUGUUAGUAUGAGAACAGCACUUCUGACUCUGGUCUUGGAGAAUUUAGUGACAGCUCCAAAACAACAACGAAGAGCACAUGUGUCCCUGUUCCUCCUGCUGUCAAAGAUUA